UGCCAGCAGCCGCGGUAAUACGGAGGGAGCAAACGUUGUUCGGAUUUACUGGGUGUAAAGGGUGCGUAGGCGGCUACGUGUGUCGGAGGUGAAAUCCAGCGGCUCAACCGUUGGACUGCCCCCGAAACUGCGUAGCUUGAGUCCGUGAGAGGAAGGCGGAAUUCCUGGUGUAACGGUGAAAUGUGCAGAUAUCAGGAAGAACACCCGUGGCGAAGGCGGCCUUCUGGUGCGGAACUGACGCUGAGGCACGAAAGCUAGGGUAUCGAACGGGAUUAGAUA
rnacentral:rRNA from 1 species